UACAGAGGUCUCAAGCGUUGUUCGGAAUCACUGGGCGUAAAGCGUGCGUAGGCGGUUUCGUAAGUCGUGUGUGAAAGGCGGGGGCUCAACCCCCGGACUGCACAUGAUACUGCGAGACUAGAGUAAUGGAGGGGGAACCGGAAUUCUCGGUGUAGCAGUGAAAUGCGUAGAUAUCGAGAGGAACACUCGUGGCGAAGGCGGGUUCCUGGACAUUAACUGACGCUGAGGCACGAAGGCCAGGGGAGCGAAAGGGAUUAGAAACCCCAUCCGGCUGACUGACU
rnacentral:rRNA from 1 species